rnacentral:tRNA from 2 species
GCGGGUAUCGUUCAGUGGUAGGACCCCACUCUUCCAAAGUGGUGACAUCGGUUCGAAUCCGUUUACCCGCACCA